rnacentral:rRNA from 1 species
GACGAACGCUGGCGGCGUGCCUAAUACAUGCAAGUCGAGCGCAGGAAACUGACGGAACACCUCGGAGGGAAGGCAGUGGAAUGAGCGGCGGACGGGUGAGUAACACGUAAGGAACCUGCCUCAAGGAUUGGGAUAACUCCGAGAAAUCGGAGCUAAUACUGGAUAGUUCAACGGACCGCAUGGUCCGCUGAUGAAAGGCGCUCCGGCGUCACCUUGAGAUGGCCUUGCGGUGCAUUAGCUAGUUGGUGGGGUAACGGCCCACCAAGGCGACGAUGCAUAGCCGACCUGAGAGGGUGAUCGGCCACACUGGGACUGAGACACGGCCCAGACUCCUACGGGAGGCAGCAGUAGGGAAUCUUCCACAAUGGACGAAAGUCUGAUGGAGCAACGCCGCGUGAGUGAUGAAGGUUUUCGGAUCGUAAAACUCUGUUGUAAGGGAAGAACACGUACGAGAGGAAAUGCUCGUACCUUGACGGUACCUUACGAGAAAGCCACGGCUAACUACGUGCCAGCCGCCGCGGUAAGAC